UACGAGGGGGGCAAGCGUUGUCCGGAUUUAUUGGGCGUAAAGAGCGUGUAGGCGGCCACACAGGUCAGCUGUGAAAACUCGAGGCUCAACCUCGAGACGUCGGUUGAAACCGUAUGGCUAGAGUCCGGAAGAGGAGAGUGGAAUUCCCGGUGUAGCGGUGAAAUGCGCAGAUAUCGGGAAGAACACCCGUGGCGAAGGCGGCUCUCUGGGACGGUACUGACGCUGAGACGCGAAAGCGUGGGGAGCGAACAGG
rnacentral:rRNA from 1 species